GUAGGGUGCGAGCGUUGUCCGGAAUUAUUGGGCGUAAAGAGCUCGUAGGCGGUGUGUCACGUCGAUCGUGAAAACUUACAGCUUAACUGUGAGCGUGCGGUCGAUACGGGCAUCACUGGAGUUCGGCAGGGGAGACUGGAAUUCCUGGUGUAGCGGUGAAAUGCGCAGAUAUCAGGAGGAGCACCGGUGGCGAAGGCGGGUCUCUGGGCCGAUACUGACGCUGAGGAGCGAAAGCGUGGGGAGCGAACAGGAUUAGAUACCCUGGUAGUCCACGCCGUAAACGUUGGGCGCUAGGUGUGGGGAUCAUUCCACGGUCUCUGUGCCGCAGCUAACGCAUUAAGCGCCCCGCCUGGGGAGUACGGCCGCAAGGCUA
rnacentral:rRNA from 1 species